GUCCGUUGAGGGGGGGGUACUGUCAGGAUCUGUGUUUUUUCUGCAUUGCUUUUCUUUUUUUGGUUUGAGUUUUAUUUUUGUUGGAGCUCCAUCAUUCUUCUGGGCAUCCACUAGAUGUCACCAGAGGCGAGCCCCUGAGAAGCUGCAGGGGUAAACCCGUGGCCACACCUGUAGCUUGUUUGGAGGGCAUGGAUUGCAGAUAUAAGCAGCGGCUGAACAACUUCUCAUCGCCUGAGUGUUAGCUUACCUUGGUUAUCCUGUUGCCUCCUCGCUGCUCCUGUGUGUGCCAUCAGCCCUGGGCUCAGAGAGAAGCUCUUGUCCCUCGCUGUCUGUGAGUUGCUCUCCUCGUGUGUCCUCCCUCGACGCUGCCGGUGUUACCGGUCGGACGCCACCCCUCGUGUGUUCACCUAUCCCAGUCUCGGUCCGUCUCCAGUGGAUUCCCCUUCGGGACGCAGCGGAUCUGUCGGUCCUAGCCCGAACCCAUCUGGAAAGAAGGAACAACUGGACCGCGACGCUUUUCGCUCUUUCCACCGCUAUAAACCUGUCCGCCCUCCAACGAGGCUCAAUUAUCCAGCGCUCAGCUCUCAACUACUCACCUUCAGAUCAAGUAAGAACCAGUUCAAUUCAUUCCUGGAAAAAGAAACACACUCCUUCCUCCACUAAUCCUCUGCCUCUCGUUGACAGUAAGACGACCCGGUCAUCCGCUCCAGUACUCACUCCCUUCCCCUUCCCCUGGAAUCAAUAAACUCAUUAUUAUUGUUUAUUUA